UCAGGCAGGUUAUUUGCAAAUCUGUCUUUGGUGGCUGGAACAAUAGUUAUGCCCGGACGAUAACGCGAAGCCAUAUAGAAUGCAAGAUACAAGGAAAUGAUCCCUAUUCUUAUGCUCUGUUAUGGCAAUCAAUCAAUCAAUCAUACAAUCAAAUAAAAUUAACUCAGUCUGAUGCCUGUUUCACACUGCAAGCGUGAGCGGCACGUGAGCAUAACUAUAGCAUCACUGCAGCUGCAGAUGUGUCAGAGUAUUCACACUGGAAGCGUUUGUACAGCGUCACAGCAGUGGCUCCAAAUAAGCUCCAUUGAUCAUGUUCUCCAAUGAUCCCAUUCUCAUCCCCCCUGGAUACCUGCUGAGGACGAACCAACUAUUACCCAGAGCUAAGAACCCAAGAACUUUCUAUCUUCUCAUACUCCCCUGCCAUCUUGCUCUCACGUCAUUGUCAAUAAACCCUCUUGUUUGCAUCCAAACAUUGUAUCUCUGGCUUGUAGUGUGACAAUUACUGUUUUGAUGUAUCUUGUUUAGUAAGAAUAGGAAGCAUUCAUACAAAAUAUAAGGAACACCCAAACAAAAACAUACACGAAUAAAGUUCAAGGUCACAACACAUGAACACAAGGUCACACACACAUGAAAAAAAAAACAAACAAAAAAACAAGACAAGACCAAAAACAAAAUAAACAUAAGGCUAAUAAAUACACACAAGAGUAAUUGACAAACGAGGUAACAAGAUACACCUGGAGUGACAAUCAAGGAGGACAAAUCAACAAAAGCACAAGAAACUAAGCAACAUAAAAGUUUCCGCACAAAACAAAAGCACAAGAACAGGCACUGCAAACCAGAGAAACUCUACAAAUACAAUAUUACAAGUUCAAAUUAGAAUUUUCUUUUUACAAUACGAUAAAUAAGUAAUGAAACUUGAUAUGUGGUUGGGGGCGCUCCAGGACAAGUUUGAAAAGCACUGAUAUACAUUAUAACUGUAGUUGCCUUUUAGAUUGAAACGCACUGCUGAUGCUAUAGGGAAUGCCCUCAGUGUGACCAGUGUUUGAAGUACACAUCUUAAAUGUGACAAUCCUAUUAGCCAACGACAGUCCAUGACAUCAGUACUGUUGCAGCUGUGAGUAUAAGAUGGCAACAGGGUAGAACAUAUCAUCAGCUUAUUCAUCUUUAGGAGCCAUUUGUUUUUGUAGGUGCAAAAAAAAUAAAUAAAAAAAAUCGACCACUAUGGACAAACACCCAGCCAAACAUUUUAGGAUGUGUGUGUCUCCCUGUCAGAGGUUUCUGACACCUGAGGACUUGUGUGUUAUGUGUUUGAGUGAGGAGAAUGCGAGUUCAGUUCUUGAGGAAGCUGAAUGCGCACAUUUUGAAAAGUUCUCAAUGAAGAAGCUCAGUUUAUGCAUGUCCCUAUUUUUAAGGGAUGAGGGACAGGCAUCCAGGCCCCCAUGUCUUGGGACCUGCGAUGGACGAGGCAAAGUAGAAAAUGAGUUUGUGGGGAUCACACGUCAAGGGAGUGUUGCGUCUUACACCUCUUCUUCCCAAGUAAGGAAGCUGUCUGAUAUUAAGGGUUGUAAAGAUGUUUUUAAUGCACUUUUUAAAUGCUGGACCAAUGGCACAUAUCACUGAUUAUACGAUCUGCCUUCUGGGGCUUCAGCAUGGGACUUGUGACUAAGCACUGUAGCAUACUCUGGUAUUGUACAAUAAACAAGUUGAGGAUGUUCACUAGAAAUAGUGUUCCUCCUCAUUUAUAUUACUACUUUAACAGGUGCCAGAAAUCUAGCAGACUAGAUGAGCACACAAGGUUGAUGCUGCCGCCCCCAGGAAAUUGGGGUUCUCUAAGCAGAAUGACUCCCUUAUAGCUCUUUUAUAAAGGUCAGCAUUAUUGUG
ensembl:lncRNA